rnacentral:siRNA from 1 species
AGGACCCGAAUGCACUGCCUUCCU